GGCUGGUUGGCUCAGUUGCUUAGAGUGUGGUGCUGGUAACACCAAGGUCAAGGGUUCAGAUCCCUUUACUAGCCA